rnacentral:rRNA from 1 species
UAGGGAAUCUUCGGCAAUGGACGAAAGUCUGACCGAGCAACGCCGCGUGAGUGAAGAAGGUUUUCGGAUCGUAAAACUCUGUUGUUAGAGAAGAACAAGGACGUUAGUAACUGAACGUCCCCUGACGGUAUCUAACCAGAAAGCCACGGCUAACUACGUGCCAGCAGCCGCGGUAAUACGUAGGUGGCAAGCGUUGUCCGGAUUUAUUGGGCGUAAAGCGAGCGCAGGCGGUUUCUUAAGUCUGAUGUGAAAGCCCCCGGCUCAACCGGUGAGGGUCAUUGGAAGCUGGGCGACUUGAGUGCAGAAGAGGAGAGUGGAAUUCCAUGUGUAGCGGUGGAAUGCGUAGAUAUAUGGAGGAACACCAGUGGCGAAGGCGGCUCUCUGGUCUGUAACUGACGCUGAGGCUCGAAAGCGUGGGGAGCAAACAGU